rnacentral:lncRNA from 1 species
CUGCAGAGGUGUAUGUAGUCUCUGGAGAAAGGUAGGGAGAUUUCUUUUUUUCCUUUUCAAGAGCUUAAUCUGUGUAAGAGGUCAAGCUGCAGGGAUAAAUGAGGUCUGUGGCUCCUCCAGCUUGUGGAUUGCCCAGAAGGCCCCUCGGAACAGCUUCUGGGUUGUCUGAAUGUUGGCAAUUCUGCGCCACAUCCCCCAGCCCCAAAUAUAUUUUGUGGUGUUUGUUAUUUUCUGAAUUUCGGUGCUUCUGCUGCUGGUCUUGGCCACUUUCCAAAAAGGCAGCGUGGAAACUAUCGCAUGUGACAGGGAUUGCCACCUGCCCGGGUCUUGUCAGACCUCCUGCGGAUCGCUGCUGGAAUAAUCAGGGAUUGUAGAACAGUUGGAUUGUUGGAAUGGCAGUGAACAGAUGUCUCAGCAAAUAACUGAGCAUCUGGAAGACUGUGAAUUGGCAGCAUCUGGAAGACACUGCUGAGUGAAUGGAGAGGUGGAAUCUGUGAUUUUUUAUUUUCCCCCCUUUCUUCUGGCUUGAAUUAUUAAUAAGUAUAAUUUUUUGUGUCACUUAUGUAAUUUUCUAACCUUCCAUCUGAAGCCAUCCUAUUAAGUAAGAUUUCCAGGCAAGGUGUGUGCUCAAGAAUAGUAAAUCUGACACUGCAGACUUACUGGCACAGAGGCUUCAAUUGAACAUGCGUGCACAAUCUGUCCAAUUUGGCCAGAAAACAUAGGAUUUACUGAGCUGGGUGUUAUGCAGCCGUAGUGCAUAUGGGCUGUGAAUGUGUCUAGGAUUACCAGUCACACAGCAGUCAGCCAGAGCUGCUGUGAAUGCACAAUGAGGUUUCAGUUGCUGGACUUAUAAGACACACAGAAAUCCCUGGAGAGAAUCCUGAAAAAUCUACCCUGAUAAAAUUCUGAUCUGAUAGAAUGAAAGCAUUGCCAAGAAAACCUAGCUUUCAGCAGUUUUUAAUGAAAAACCAAAAGAAAAGAGAUCAUCAUGCCUUGCACUGUUUCUGAGAGACUUCUGAACUGGGGUGUUGCAGAAGGUUCCCUGAGGUGUUAUCAGCUAUCCCCCACAAACUGCUUUACUGCUUUGGACUGCCCUUCUUACCUCCAGUAGGAUGUGAAUGAUGCAGAUUUUAGCACAGGGCUGGGGAGGGAGCUGUCUCAGACACUUGCAGCUCACUGUAGUCUGUCUUUCUUUUUUUCUUUCUAAUGCACACUAGAGUGCGUCUCUCAGGAGUGUAACAGUGGAGAUAAGCAUGGAAAAAAGCCCAUCUCCUCUCUGUAACUCCAUUAGUCACUCCUGGUGGAGAUGGUCUUGUUUAAAAUAUGAAACCCAAAUAUGCAGUGCUACAGCAAAAAUGACAGUGCUGUGCUGGAGUGUGUCCAGGGAAGGACAAUGAAGCUGAUGAAAGGUCUGGAGCACAAGUCCU